rnacentral:rRNA from 1 species
UACGGGGGGGGCAAGCGUUGUUCGGAAUUACUGGGCGUAAAGGGCUCGUAGGUUGCCAACUAAGUCAGACGUGAAAUCCCUCAGCUUAACUGGGGAACUGCGUCUGAUACUGGAUGGCUUGAGUUUGGGAGAGGGAUGCGGAAUUCCAGGUGUAGCGGUGAAAUGCGUAGAUAUCUGGAGGAACACCGGUGGCGAAGGCGGCAUCCUGGACCAACACUGACACUGAUGAGCGAAAGCCAGGGGAGCAAACGGG